AUUGAACGCUGGCGGCAUGCCUAACACGUGCAAGUCGAGCGGAUAAAUAAGGCUUUCUCCUGUAUGCAGCUGCGGGCGGGUGGGUAAGUCCUACGAGGGUGCCUGAUAGAUAGGAAUAACAUCCGUACACGAGCGCUGAGACCGCAUACGUCAUGAUUUAGAAAGGGGUGGAUCUUCGGACAUCGCUCUAUCAGAUAAGCCUAAGUCGGAUUAGCUAGUUGGUUGGGUAACGGCUUACCAAGGCGACGAUCCGUAGCCGGCCUGAGAGGAUGAUCAGUCACACUGGAACUGAGACACGGUCCAGACUCCUACGGGAGGCAGCAGUAGGGAAUCUUGCGCAAUGGGCGAAAGCCUGACGGAGCAACGCCGCGUGAGUGAUGAAGGGCUUCGGCUUGUAAAACACUGUUAGUAGGGAAGAACGAACGUGUGUUAAUCCGUUCAUGUCUUGACGUUACCUAAACAAAAAGCCACGGCUAACUACGUG
rnacentral:rRNA from 1 species